rnacentral:tRNA from 1 species
UCCGGGGUAGCUCAAUCGGCAGAGCAACACGCUGUUAACGUGCAGGCUGUGGGUUCGAGUCCCACCCCCGGAG